GCCCUGCAGUGCCAGAUCAGUGGGAGAACAUCUGCUUGGAAUGCAGAUGGUGCCAGGUUCAAUUCUUAGCAUCUCCAGGUAGGGCU